rnacentral:rRNA from 1 species
GAUAAACGCUGGCGGCGUGCCUUAUGCAUGCAAGUCGAACGGGGCACUGGUCUUCGGGCCAGGGCCUAGUGGCGGACGGGUGAGUAAAGCGUAAGUGACCUGCCCCCGAGUGGGGAAUAACCCUGAGAAAUUGGGGCUAAUACCGCAUAAAGUGAUGGGAGUAGGGUUUCAUCACCAAAGCCUUCGGGUGCUUGGGGAGGGGCUUGCGUCCGAUUAGCUAGUUGGUGGGGUAAGGGCUUACCAAGGCGACGAUCGGUAGCUGGUCUGAGAGGAUGGUCAGCCACACUGGGACUGAGAUACGGCCCAGACUCCUACGGGAGGCAGCAGCAAGGGAUCUUGCGCAAUGGGCGAAAGCCUGACGCAGCAACGCCGCGUGGGUGAAGAAGGCCUUCGGGUUGUAAGGCCCUUUUCUCGGGGAAGAGGAAGGACGGUACCCGAGGAAUAAGCCUCGGCCAACUACGUG